rnacentral:rRNA from 1 species
UACAGAGGUCCCGAGCGUUGUUCGGAUUCACUGGGCGUAAAGGGUGCGUAGGUGGCUUGAAAAGUUUGAUGUGAAAGCUCAGGGCUUAACCCUGAAAUGGCAUUGAAUACUGUCGAGCUGGAGGUUUGGAGGGGGGACUGGAAUUCUUGGUGUAGCAGUGAAAUGCGUAGAUAUCAAGAGGAACACCAGUGGCGAAGGCGAGUCCCUGGACUCAUACUGACACUGAGGUGCGAAAGCGUGGGGAGCAAACAGG